AACGAACGCUGGCGGCAUGCCUAACACAUGCAAGUCGAACGAGACCUUCGGGUCUAGUGGCGCACGGGUGCGUAACGCGUGGGAAUCUGCCCUUCGGUUGGGAAUAACUGAGAGAAAUUUCAGCUAAUACCUUAUAAUGUCUUCGGACCAAAGAUUUAUCGCCGAGGGAUGAGCCCGCGUAGGAUUAGGUAGUUGGUGGGGUAAUGGCCUACCAAGCCGACGAUCCUUAGCUGGUCUGAGAGGAUGAUCAGCCACACUGGGACUGAGACACGGCCCAGACUCCUACGGGAGACAGCAGUGGGGAAUAUUGGACAAUGGGCGAAAGCCUGAUCCAGCAAUGCCGCGUGAGUGAUGAAGGCCUUAGGGUUGUAAAGCUCUUUUACCCGGGAUGAUAAUGACAGUACCGGGAGAAUAAGCUCCGGCUAACUCCGUG
rnacentral:rRNA from 1 species